GCAUAAUAAAUCGCCCUUUAAUUGUGGGCUUGUAUGAAUGGAUAAACGAAGGCUUAACUGUCUCUUUUAUACUAAUAAAAAUUGGCCUUUAGGUGAAAAGACCUAAAUAAAGUUAGAGGACAAAAAGACCCCGUAGAGCUUGGUAUCUUAGUUAAACUUUACCUUAUAAAAAUAUUAUAAACUCUAUUUUAAUAAGAGAUUCUUGGCUGGGGCGGCUAUGGAGUAAAUACCCUCCAUAAAUAUUUAAAGAUUCUACAAAUCUUACUUUAUGAUCCUAAUUUAGAUCAAAGAAAAUAGCUACCUCGGGGAUAACAGAUUAAUCCCUUUUGAGAGUUCAUAUUGACAAAGGGUUUUGACACCUCGAUGUUGGCUUAGGGUCUCCAGGGGGUCAGCAACAGCCCCCAAAGGUAGGUUUGUUCAACCUUUAAAACCCU
rnacentral:rRNA from 3 species